rnacentral:rRNA from 1 species
UACGGGGGGAGCAAGCGUUGUUCGGAUUUACUGGGCGUAAAGGGCGCGUAGGCGGUCAGCACAAGUCAGUUGUGAAAUCUCCGGGCUUAACUCGGAAAGGUCAACUGAUACUGUGCGACUAGAGUGCAGAAGGGGCAACUGGAAUUCUCGGUGUAGCGGUGAAAUGCGUAGAUAUCGAGAGGAACACUUGCGGCGAAGGCGGGUUGCUGGGCUGACACUGACGCUGAUGCGCGAAAGCCAGGGGAGCGAACGGG